rnacentral:rRNA from 1 species
CCAGUCGAACGGGGUCAUUAAGGAAAAAUCCUUCGGGAUUCGGAAUUCUUGACCUAGUGGCGGACGGGUGAGUAACGCGUGAGCAAUCUGCCUUUGGAUGGGGGAUAACAGCCGGAAACGACUGCUAAUACCGCAUAAUGCAGCAGGACCACAUGAUUUUGCUGCCAAAGAUUUAUCGUCCAAAGAUGAGCUCGCGUCUGAUUAGCCAGUUGGCGGGGUAACGGCCCACCAAAGCGACGAUCAGUAGCCGGACUGAGAGGUUGAACGGCCACAUUGGGACUGAGACACGGCCCAGACUCCUACGGGAGGCAGCAGUGGGGAAUAUUGCGCAAUGGGGGAAACCCUGACGCAGCAACGCCGCGUGAGUGAAGAAGGCCUUCGGGUUGUAAAGCUCUUUAAUCAGGGACGAAGAAUGACGGUACCUGAAGAAUAAGCUCCGGCUAACUACGUGCCAGCAGCCGCGGUAAUACGUAGGGAGCAAGCGUUAUCCGGAUUUACUGGGUGUAAAGGGCGUGUAGGCGGGCCUGCAAGUCAGAAGUGAAAUCUGGGGGCUUAACCCCCAAACUGCUUUUGAAACUGUGGGUCUUGAGUGAUGGAGAGGCAGGCGGAAUUCCCAGUGUAGCGGUGAAAUGCGUAGAUAUUGGGAGGAACACCAGUGGCGAAGGCGGCCUGCUGGACAUUAACUGACGCUGAGGCGCGAAAGCGUGGGGAGCAAACAGGAUUAGAUACCCUGGUAGUCCACGCCGUAAACGAUGGAUACUAGGUGUGGGAGGUAUUGACCCCUUUCCGUGCCGCAGUUAACACAUAAGUAUCCCACCUGGGGAGUACGGCCGCAAGUUGAACUCAAAGGAAUUGACGGGGGCCCGCACAAGCAGUGGAGUAUGUGGUUUAAUUCGAAGCAACGCGAAGAAUCUUACCAGGUCUUGACUCCGAUGAUCGCUCUGGAGACCGGGUUUCCCUUCGGGCAUUGGAGAAGUGGUGCAUGAUGUCGUCAGCUCUU